UUGCUUUGCAUGUGAAAAAGAAUUGAAUUGUUGUUAAUAAAUUACUUGCUUUGUAAUUGAUUAUGGUUGUGAAAGGGUAAUUAAUAGAAGUUAGAUAUGUGUCAACUCUGAAUUUGUUUUGAGUGUUCAAUGCGAGUCUGUUGUUUCUCUCUUCCCUCUUAAAACACUUUUUUCCUCUUCCAACUUCAACAGAUUCCUAUCUGUUGUUUCUCUCUUCCAUCUUUGAAACGCUUACCUUCUCUUCCAACUCCUCUUUGACUUAUGCAAUAGAUUUUAAUCCAUUUAGCGAGUCUGCAAACUUUGUUGAUUUACUUAACAGUCAACAAAGUGUUUCACUUUCUUCAUCGCAAGUCCUCUUCUUAGGCAGUCAAGGCAACGAAGAUUUUAACUUUGCUGAAGACACUGGAGCCUUAAUAUCGAUGCUUCUUUCUAUAUAAACUUCUCCCUCGACUUGUAUGCAAAAACAACACCAAGACUCAUCUUCUCUCUCGCUUUCUAACACCACCAAACUGUAAAAACAACACCAAGACUCUCAUCUUCUCUCUCGCUUUCUAACACCACCAAUCUUUUG
rnacentral:lncRNA from 1 species